UGUUUCCAAAACGGUAUUCAAUAAACUGUUGUGAUGGCGUUGGUCGAAAGUGAGAGGCAUUCCUCGAAACUUACAGAGGCGCUAGUGUUUAGCUCGGACAAGAGCAUCUGAUUUAGAGAGUGUACGAAAGUUAAACUGCUGGGCUUCAAAUCUGGAAAAUAUUAGUAUAGUGGCGCAACAUGCCAAAUCUGGAGGUUUGCAGUCUCAGUGUGAAUAAUCUUACAACUUGGAGGAUUUUGCACAUUGUCCAAUCUCGAGAGCUCUAUGUUCGAAAAAACCAUGUGAAAAAUCUUUCUGUAUUCACUACUUAAGAAGUUUGAAACGACUUCGUGCUUUAUGGCUUUCAGACAACCCGUGUGCAGAAGGAGAGAAUAUCGCAUUGACUGUACUGAAAACACUUCCAAAUCUACAAAACUUGAUAUAUUGGUAAAAUUCAGAGGCAAUAUAA